ensembl:lncRNA
GUUGUUGCAGCCCCAGUGCCAUACAAUGACCCCAAUACCUUGUUGUUGCAGCCCAGUGCCAUACAAUGACUGAGGACAACAUCAAGCCAAAGGGUUGUUUCUAUGCAUUCUGUUGACUGGAGGAUUCUCCACCCCCUCCCUCUUUUUUCAGCUCAAAUAUGCCAAAUUCUUAUACAAUGCUGCUCUGUGAUCUUCCUGACCUCUCCUGCUUCUCCACAGCACUCUCUGAUCUGUCUAAUCUCUCCUGCUUCUCCACAGCACUCUCUGAUCUGUCUAAUCUCUCCUUAUUUUCCACAGUACUCUCUGAUCUUCAUGACCUCUCAUGAACUCUCCUGCUUCUCCACAGUGUCACAAAAAUGAACAAGGAGACUUAACUCUCUUCAACUCCCUGACAUGUUUGUUUCCCAGACAGGGAAUACAAUAUAGCAUCGCCGUUGUGUAUCACAAAAUAUAUCACAAUAGCAGAACAAAGUGUGUCUUAAAGUUAUUUGAGAAAGUGUGUGUGUGUGUGUGUGUGUGUGUGUGUGUGUGUGUGUGUGUGUGUGUGUGUGUGUGUGUGUGUGUGUGUGUGUGUGUGUGUGUGCGUGCGUGCGUGUGUGUGUGUGCGUGCGCGUGUGCCGUCUUUGCUGAAAUUGGAGGAGUUUCCCCUUGGCAGCCUUUAGAGGCUCUCAGAACCUUCCAUUUGUGCUUGUUAACAAGAUGCCAGUGAGCUGUACACAUCCUUUCUGCCCUCUCCCCUACCUCAUAGACAUAGUAUGUGUUUACUCGCAGAGGAAAGCUGUUUCACGGACCAGAAAUUAAUAGGGUAAGGGACUGAGUCAGGGAGAUAGUGACUCCCACGGGUUACGGUACGCCAUUCACAUCGUCAGAUUAGAUAGUGAGUGAAACUGUUUAGUGAGUGAAACUGUUUAGUGAGUGAAACUGUUUAGCUAAGAUGUGUUAUGUAAAUAUUACUAGUAGCCUACUCUCGCACUAUCUUGCUGACAAUGGGAGGAAUACCUAUUUGUGAGUUUCUAGACCUCUGAGACAGAGACAUAGAUAUUUCUGCUAGAGGAAAAUAUUGCCCAACAUCGAUUUCUUACUGUUGACGGGCUGUAGGGGCAGCUUUCUCGGGAGAAUAUUCCAUCAGUUAAACUAAAGUAGGUUGACUGUUAUAGUGAGAUAUACACUACAUGACCAAAAGUAUGUGGACACCUGCUCGUUGAACAUCUCAUUCCAAAGUCUUGAUAGAGUUAAUAUGGAGUUUGUCCCCCUAUAACAGCCUCCACUCUACUGGGAAGUCUUUCCACUAGAUGUUGGAACAUUGCUGCAGGGACUUGCUUCUAUUCAGCCACAAGAGCAUUAGUGAGGUUGGACGCUGAUGUUGGGUGAUUAGGCCCUGGCUCGCAGUCGGCGUUCCAAUUCAUGCCAAAGGACCUCGAUGGGGUUGAGGUCAGGGCUCUGUGCAGGCCAGUCCAGUUAUUCCACACUGAUCUCGACAAACCAUUUGUGAAUGCUUCUACACCUGCAUUGAUUGCUGUUUGGGGUUUUAGGCUUGAUUUCUGUACACCAUUUUGAGAUAUCAGCUGAUGUAAGAAGUACUUCAUAAAUACAUUUGAUUUGAUUUGAAUGGACUUCACUUUGUGCAUUAGGGCAUUGUCAUGCUUGAACAGGAAAGGACCUUCCCCAAACUGUUGUUACAAAGUUGGAAGCACAGAAUCGUCUAGAAUGUCAUUGUAUGCUGUAGCAUUAAGACUUCCCUUCACUGGAACUAAGGAGUCUGAACCAUGAAAGACAGCCCCAGACCAUUAUUCCUCCUCCACCAAACUUUACAGUUGGCAUUAUGCAUUGAGGCUGGUACUGUUCUCCUGGCAUACGACAAACCCAGAUUUGUCCGGCUCACUGCCAGAUGGUGAACCGUGAUUCAUCACUCCAGAGAACGCUAACCACUGAUCAGAGUCCAAUGGCAGCGAGCUUUACACCACGCCAGGCGACGCUUGGCAUUGCACAUGAUGAUCUUGUGUGCGGAUGCUCGGCCGUGGAAACCCAUUUCAAUACGCUCCAGACAAAGAGUUAUUGUGCUCACGUUGCUUCCAGAGGCUGUUCAGAACUAGAUAGUGAGUGUUGCAUCCAAGGACAGACGAUGGCAGUCUACAUGGCAGUCCCGUUCUGUGAGCUUGUGUUGCCUGCCAUUUCAUGGCUAAGCCAUUGUUGCUCCUAGACAUGUUUGCAUGGCUGUGUGCUUGAUUUUAUACACCUGUCAGCAAUGGGUCUGACUGAAAUAGCCCGAAUCCACUAAUUUGAAUGGGUGUCCACAUAUUUUUGUAUAUAUCAUUUGUUUACGGUUGAAGUAUAAUUUUACCCAACCCAGUUUCAACCAGCAUUUUUUUUCUCCAGCCAGUAGUCUCAGGCAGAAACAAAACACCUGGCAGUCUUUGUCGUCCAUUGAUUGGGUAAUGAAUGCCCUACAGAGGAAACCAGGAGAAGGGGAAGUCAGCAGCCUCGGUGCCCAUGGCAGAGAGCUCUGGAUGGGACAGGAAAGCUCAGAGAGUUCCCCUGGGAAGGAAGAACCAUGGCCGAGGGGAAAGAGGCUGUUUAUGUAAUGGAAGGACAGAGGAGGGAGAUGGAGUGGAACGAAAGGAGAAGGGAGAAGAGAGAGGUGAGGGGGGAUGAGAGAGGACGAAAGG